AGAGUUUGAUCCUGGCUCAGGACGAACGCUGGCGGCGUGCUUAACACAUGCAAGUCGAACGGAAAGGCCCUUCGGGGUACUCGAGUGGCGAACGGGUGAGUAACACGUGGGUGAUCUGCCCUGCACUUUGGGAUAAGCCUGGGAAACUGGGUCUAAUACCGAAUAGGACCGCGCGCUUCAUGGUGUGUGGUGGAAAGCUUUUGCGGUGUGGGAUGGGCCCGCGGCCUAUCAGCUUGUUGGUGGGGUAAUGGCCUACCAAGGCGACGACGGGUAGCCGGCCUGAGAGGGUGACCGGCCACACUGGGACUGAGAUACGGCCCAGACUCCUACGGGAGGCAGCAGUGGGGAAUAUUGCACAAUGGGCGCAAGCCUGAUGCAGCGACGCCGCGUGAGGGAUGACGGCCUUCGGGUUGUAAACCUCUUUCACCAGGGACGAAGCGCAAGUGACGGUACCUGGAGAAGAAGCACCGGCCAACUACGUGCCAGCAGCCGCGGUAAUACGUAGGGUGCGAGCGUUGUCCGGAAUUACUGGGCGUAAAGAGCUCGUAGGUGGUUUGUCGCGUUGUUCAUGAAAACUCACAGCUUAACUGUGGGCGUGCGGGCGAUACGGGCAGACUAGAGUACUGCAGGGGAGACUGGAAUUCCUGGUGUAGCGGUGGAAUGCGCAGAUAUCAGGAGGAACACCGGUGGCGAAGGCGGGUCUCUGGGCAGUAACUGACGCUGAGGAGCGAAAGCGUGGGGAGCGAACAGGAUUAGAUACCCUGGUAGUC
rnacentral:rRNA from 1 species